AACGAACGCUGGCGGCAUGCCUAACACAUGCAAGUCGAACGGGAUCCUAGCUUGCUAGGUGAGAGUGGCGCACGGGUGAGUAACACGUAGCUAAUCUGCCCUCAAGACAAGGAUAACUGUAGGAAACUACUGCUAAUACUUGAUAAGCUUACGGACUGUAGAGGUCUAUAAGAAAAGAUUUAUCGCUUGAGGAUGAGGCUGCGCGCCAUCAGCUAGUUGGUAAGGUAAUGGCUUACCAAGGCGACGACGGCUAGGGGACCUGAGAGGGUGA
rnacentral:rRNA from 1 species